UACGUAGGUGACCAGCGUUGUCCGGAUUUACUGGGCGUAAAGGGCGCGUAGGCGGCGCGGUAAGUCACUUGUGAAAUCUCUGAGCUUAACUCAGAACGGCCAAGUGAUACUGCAGUGCUAGAGUGUGGAAGGGGCAAUCGGAAUUCUUGGUGUAGCGGUGAAAUGCGUAGAUAUCAAGAGGAACACCUGAGGUGAAGACGGGUUGCUGGGCCAACACUGACGCUGAUGCGCGAAAGCCAGGGGAGCAAACGGG
rnacentral:rRNA from 1 species